AUUGAACGCUGGCGGAAUGCCUAACACAUGCAAGUCGAGCGGCAGCGGGAAAGUAGCUUGCUACUUUUGCCGGCGAGCGGCGGACGGGUGAGUAAUGCCUGGGAAAUUGCCCUGAUGUGGGGGAUAACUACUGGAAACGGUGGCUAAUACCGCAUGAUGCCUACGGGCCAAAGAGGGGGACCUUCGGGCCUCUCGCGUCAGGAUAUGCCCAGGCGGGAUUAGCUGGUUGGUGAGGUAAUGGCUCACCAAGGCGACGAUCCCUAGCUGGGCUGAGAGGAUGAUCAGCCACACUGGAACUGAGACACGGUCCAGACUCCUACGGGAGGCAGCAGUGGGGAAUAUUGCACAAUGGGGGAAACCCUGAUGCAGCCAUGCCGCGUGUGUGAAGAAGGCCUUCGGGUUGUAAAGCACUUUCAGCGAGGAGGAAAGGUCAGUAGCUAAUAUCUGCUGGCUGUGACGUUACUCGCAGAAGAAGCACCGGCUAACUCCGUGCCAGCCGCCGCAGUAA
rnacentral:rRNA from 1 species